rnacentral:rRNA from 1 species
UUUGGCCUACGGGACGCAGCAGUGAGGAAUAUUGGUCAAUGGGCGGGAGCCUGAACCAGCCAAGUCGCGUGAGGGACGACGGUCCUAUGGAUUGUAAACCUCUUUUGUCGGGGAACAAAGGCGUCCACGGGUGGGCGGAUGAGUGUACCCGAAGAAAAAGCAUCGGCUAACUCCGUGCCAGCAGCCGCGGUAAUACGGAGGAUGCGAGCGUUAUCCGGAUUUAUUGGGUUUAAAGGGUGCGUAGGCGGCCAGUCACGUCAGCGGUCACACUGCGGUGCUCACCGCCGUACAGCCGUUGAAACUGG